rnacentral:rRNA from 1 species
UGAAAGAUCCGCCUGGUGACGGAAUACCAGGUUAAAGGGAGUAGUUAUAUUUUUUACAGGCAAAUCCGUAAGAAAUGACGAACCUGAUAGUACAGCAAAGCUUCGGCAGAGCUGAUAGUGAUCCUAAUCAAACCUCCGAGAAAAACUUCUAAGUUAUGUUUAAAGCAGCCCGUACCGCAAACCGACACAGGUGGGUGGGAUGAAUAUUCUAAGGCGCUCGGGUGAGCCGUGGAGAAGGAACUAGGCAAAUUGACGCUGUAACUUCGGGAUAAAGCGUACCCUCUACGUAAGUAGAAGGUCUCAGUAAAAUGGUGCAACCAACUGUUUAGCAAAAACACAGGGCCCUGCAAAAUCGAAAGAUGACGUAUAGAGCCUGAUACCUGCCCGGUGCUGGAAGGUUAAGGAAGGGUGUUCGUCGCAAGACAAAGCUCCUGACUGAAGCCCCAGUAAACGGCGGCCGUAACUAUAACGGUCCUAAGGUAGCGAAAUUCCUUGUCGGGUAAGUUCCGACCUGCACGAAUGGUCUAAUGAGUUGCACACUGUCUCCUCCACGAGCCCGGUGAAAUUGUAGUAUCGGUGAAGAUGCCGGUUACCCGUCACGGGACGGAAAGACCCCAUGAACCUUCACUACAACUUUGCAUUGAUUUUGAAUUUUUGAUGUGUAGGAUAGUUGGGAGACUUUGAAGCGGUGUCGCUAGGCAUCGUGGAGUCAACGUUGAAAUACCAACCUUUAAACAUUUAGAAUCUAACCCGCCAAUGGUGGGCACAGUGCAUGGUGGGUAGUUUGACUGGGGUGGUCGCCUCCUAAAAUGUAACGGAGGCUUGCAAAGGUUCCCUCAGUACGGUUGGCAAUCGUACAUAGAGCGUAUUAGUAUAAGGGAGCUUGACUGUGAGACUUACAAGUCGAGCAGGGACGAAAGUCGGCUAAAGUGAUCCGGUGGUUCUGUAUGGAAGAGCCAUCGCUCAAAGGAUAAAAGGUACUCUGGGGAUAACAGGCUGAUCUCCCCCAAGAGCUCAUAUCGACGGGGAGGUUUGGCACCUCGAUGUCGGUUCGUCACAUCCUGGGGCUGGAGAAGGUCCCAAGGGUUCGGCUGUUUGCCGAUUAAAGUGGCACGUGAACUGGGUUCAGAACGUCGCAAGACAGUUCGGUCCCUAUCUGUGAUGGGCGUUAGUAAAUUGAGAGGACAUGACCUUAGUACGAGAGGACCGGGUCGUAUGUACCGCUGGUGUAUCUGUUGUGCCGCCAGGUGCAAUGCAGAGUAGCUAUGUACAGGCAGGAUAAACGCUGAAAGCAUCUAAGCGUGAAACCUUCCUCAAGAUGAGUUUACUUUUAAGGGUCGUCGAAGACUACGACGUUGAUAGGCUAUAGGUAUAAAGGUGGUAACAUCAAAGCCGAGUAGUACUAAUUACCCGUUAGCUUUAUU